rnacentral:rRNA from 1 species
ACCCGCUGAACUUAAGCAUAUCAAUAAGCGGAGGAAAAGAAACUAACAAGGAUUCCCCUAGUAACUGCGAGUGAAGCGGGAAAAGCUCAAAUUUAAAAUCUGGCGGUUCCACCGUCCGAGUUGUAAUUUAGAGAAGUGCUAUCCGCGCUGGACCGUGUACAAGUCUCCUGGAAUGGAGCGUCAUAGAGGGUGAGAAUCCCGUCUUUGACACGGACUGCCAGGGCAUUGUGAUGCGCUCUCAAAGAGUCGAGUUGUUUGGGAUUGCAGCUCAAAAUGGGUGGUAAAUUCCAUCUAAAGCUAAAUAUUGGGGAGAGACCGAUAGCGAACAAGUACCGUGAGGGAAAGAUGAAAAGAACUUUGGAAAGAGAGUUAAACAGUACGUGAAAUUGCUGAAAGGGAAACGCUUGAAGUCAGUCGCGUUGUUCGGGAUUCAGCUUCAGCUUCUGCUAGGUGGAUUUCCUGUUCGACGGGUCAGCAUCAGUUUUGGCCGGUGGAUAAAGGUUCAGAGAAUGUGGCAUCCUCGGAUGUGUUAUAGCUCUGGGUCGCAUACAUCGGCUGGGACUGAGGAACUCAGCUCGCCGCAAGGCCAGGUUUCGACCAUGUUCGUGCUUAGGAUGCUGGCAUAAUGGCUUUAAUCGACCCGUCUUGAAACACGG